GACCUAGUGGUGUAAUGAUGCACACCUGCUGCUGUUGGUUGGAAAGCAUCCUCAAGCAGGAGGUCCCGGUUCGAAUCCAGGUUAGGUUA